CAACGGGUUGCCUGCAGCACCUUCUCAUCCCUUCCAGGAGCUGAGCCUCUUCAUGCAGGCUAUUUUGGGCUUGCUGUGAAGUUCUCAGUGUACUUUCUCAGCCAGAGCAGCAUUGUGAGCUCCUUCUGGAGUCAUGAAAUUUAACGAAGAGCUAGUCCCAGGAAGAGGCAUCAGGAUCUUAAGGAAUUUGUGGAAUAUUCAAGCUGAGUGUUCUUAUUAGUGCACGGUUGAAAAAUGCCACUGCAUAA